UAGUGACUCACCUACACCAUCCUGCGCGUAUCAAGACAUUGGUGCUCAGGAGGGACCAGGUUAGGGGACACUGCUCAGUGGGAGCCACUUUAAGGGACACAGAACAGGCUCAAGGAAAUUCUCAACCCUCAGCUAGUCUCCUCAACAGAUCACUGGAUUAGCAGUUCUGAACUACCAGACUGAAUAGGAAUAAUGAUGGAGCACAACCUACCAUCAGGGUUCUUGUGGAUCAAACACAGCCCAAGCCAGUUACUUCUGAAAACCACUAAUGAGACUUGGAAAUGGAACAGCAAAUGGAGGAAGGGCAACUAAUCAGGAAUGUGCCUGGACACCUGCGGAGAAAUAAACUUGUCGCUCUUGGGAGAGAAAUGGGAGAUUUAUGCCAUUAAACAGAUGCCCUGAAAUUGAGGACAGACAUGGGAAUGUAACCAGCAAGGCAAG